GACGAACCGUACGAACGUUAUUCGGAAUCACUGGGCUUAAAGGGUGCGUAGGCGGCGGCGCAAGUUGGGUGUGAAAUCCCUCGGCUCAACCGAGGAACUGCGCUCAAACUGCGUUGCUUGAGGGAGAUAGAGGUGAGUGGAACUUAGGGUGGAGCGGUGAAAUGCGUUGAUAUCCUAAGGAACACCAGUGGCGAAAGCGACUCACUGGGUCUCUUCUGACGCUGAGGCACGAAAGCUAGGGUAGCGAACGGG
rnacentral:rRNA from 1 species